CAGAACCUUUUUGGGCCUGAGCAUAUCGCUUAAUAACAAGAGUAACUCUACCUGCCCAGGGGUUAUUGAUGAAAGGACAGAGCAAUCAUUGUAAGGUAUUUCCCCUCCCUGGUUUCUUCCAGCCCUGAACAGAGCACUGGGGGCAGACCCAACGGGAUGGCUGGUGUGACUCCUCAGUGGACUCUGCCCUGAAGAGGUGAUGUGUUCUCCAAAGGGCCCAAGUUGGUAUCCCAAGAGCC